ACUGGUCGUCACCAGUGAGGCUCUUCCACCACCGUGGGUCGUCGUCUGCCCUAAUGUGAGCUUGACCUUGCCUUGCUGCCCCAAUUGGUUCUCUGGUGGUCAUGGAGCAGCUCCAUCAGAUCAUUGGUGAGGGUACUUGGAUUGAAAAUCCA